GACGAACGCUGGCGGCGUGCCUAAUACAUGCAAGUAGAACGCGCAGUUUAUACCGUAGCUUGCUACACCAUAGACUGUGAGUUGCGAACGGGUGAGUAACGCGUAGGUAACCUGCCUGGUAGCGGGGGAUAACUAUUGGAAACGAUAGCUAAUACCGCAUAAUAUUGAUUAUUGCAUGAUAAUUGAUUGAAAGAUGCUAUUGCAUCACUACCAGAUGGACCUGCGUUGUAUUAGCUAGUAGGUGAGGUAACGGCUCACCUAGGCGACGAUACAUAGCCGACCUGAGAGGGUGAUCGGCCACACUGGGACUGAGACACGGCCCAGACUCCUACGGGAGGCAGCAGUAGGGAAUCUUCGGCAAUGGACGAAAGUCUGACCGAGCAACGCCGCGUGAGUGAAGAAGGUUUUCGGAUCGUAAAGCUCUGUUGUAAGAGAAGAACGGGUGUGAGAGUGGAAAGUUCACACUGUGACGGUAUCUUACCAGAAAGGGACGGCUAACUACGUG
rnacentral:rRNA from 1 species